UAUUACCAGAAGCGACGGCGAGAUGAGGUCAGACUAAGAUCUUACCUGACGAGCCGAGAGGUGGUGCAUGGCGACCGUCAGCUCGUGGUGCGAACUGUACCGGUUAAGUCCGGUAACGAGCGACGUACCCUUAUGAAUAGUUGACCUAACCGGUUUAGCGAGUAAACCGGGCACUCUAGUUUCGGACCCGCCCCUUAGUUAAAGAGGAGGAAGGGAGGGGCGACGAUACGUCAGUAUCGCCCUGAAUCUCCGUGGGCUACACGCGGCAUACAAAGGUCGAUACAAUGAGAUGCAAUGCCGAAAGGCAAAGCCCAAAACCCCUAAACCGACCUAAGUUCGGAUUGAGGGCUGAAACUCGCCCUCAUGAAGAUGGGACUCCCUAGUAAUCGCUUGUCAC
rnacentral:rRNA from 1 species